CUCACUGGUCGAGUCGGCCUGCGCGGAAGAUGUAACGGGGCUAAACCAUGCACCGAAGCUGCGGCAGCGACACUGUGUGUUGUUGGGUAGGGGAGCGUUCUGUAAGCCUGUGAAGGUGUGUCGUGAGGCAUGCUGGAGGUAUCAGAAGUGCGAAUGCUGACAUAAGUAACGAUAAAGCGGGUGAAAAGCCCGCUCGCCGGAAGACCAAGGGUUCCUGUCCAACGUUAAUCGGGGCAGGGUGAGUCGACCCCUAAGGCGAGGCCGAAAGGCGUAGUCGAUGGGAAACGGGUUAAUAUUCCCGUACUUGGUGUUACUGCGAAGGGGGGACGGAGAAGGCUAUGUUGGCCGGGCGACGGUUGUCCCGGUUUAAGCGUGUAGGUGUGUGUUCCAGGUAAAUCCGGUUCACUUUAACACUGAGGCGUGACGACGAGGCACUACGGUGCUGAAGCAACAAAUGCCCUGCUUCCAGGAAAAGCCUCUAAGCAUCAGGUAACAUCAAAUCGUACCCCAAACCGACACAGGUGGUCAGGUAGAGAAUACCAAGGCGCUUGAGAGAACUCGGGUGAAGGAACUAGGCAAAAUGGUGCCGUAACUUCGGGAGAAGGCACGCUGACACGUAGGUGAAGUGAUUUACUCAUGGAGCUGAAGUCAGUCGAAGAUACCAGCUGGCUGCAACUGUUUAUUAAAAACACAGCACUGUGCAAACACGAAAGUGGACGUAUACGGUGUGACGCCUGCCCGGUGCCGGAAGGUUAAUUGAUGGGGUCAGCGCAAGCGAAGCUCCUGAUCGAAGCCCCGGUAAACGGCGGCCGUAACUAUAACGGUCCUAAGGUAGCGAAAUUCCUUGUCGGGUAAGUUCCGACCUGCACGAAUGGCGUAAUGAUGGCCAGGCUGUCUCCACCCGAGACUCAGUGAAAUUGAACUCGCUGUGAAGAUGCAGUGUACCCGCGGCAAGACGGAAAGACCCCGUGAACCUUUACUAUAGCUUGACACUGAACAUUGAGCCUUGAUGUGUAGGAUAGGUGGGAGGCUUUGAAGUGUGGACGCCAGUCUGCAUGGAGCCGACCUUGAAAUACCACCCUUUAAUGUUUGAUGUUCUAACGUGGACCCGUUACCCGGGUUGCGGACAGUGUCUGGUGGGUAGUUUGACUGGGGCGGUCUCCUCCUAAAGAGUAACGGAGGAGCACGAAGGUUGGCUAAUCCUGGUCGGACAUCAGGAGGUUAGUGCAAUGGCAUAAGCCAGCUUGACUGCGAGCGUGACGGCGCGAGCAGGUGCGAAAGCAGGUCAUAGUGAUCCGGUGGUUCUGAAUGGAAGGGCCAUCGCUCAACGGAUAAAAGGUACUCCGGGGAUAACAGGCUGAUACCGCCCAAGAGUUCAUAUCGACGGCGGUGUUUGGCACCUCGAUGUCGGCUCAUCACAUCCUGGGGCUGAAGUAGGUCCCAAGGGUAUGGCUGUUCGCCAUUUAAAGUGGUACGCGAGCUGGGUUUAGAACGUCGUGAGACAGUUCGGUCCCUAUCUGCCGUGGGCGCUGGAGAACUGAGGGGGGCUGCUCCUAGUACGAGAGGACCGGAGUGGACGCAUCACUGGUGUUCGGGUUGUCAUGCCAAUGGCACUGCCCGGUAGCUAAAUGCGGAAGAGAUAAGUGCUGAAAGCAUCUAAGCACGAAACUUGCCCCGA
rnacentral:rRNA from 1 species